rnacentral:rRNA from 2 species
GUUAUAUAGUCAAGUGAAUAAGAGCAUGCGGUGGAUGCCUUGGCGACAGAAGGCGAUGAAGGACGUAGUAGUCUGCGAUAAGCCUCGGGGAGUUGACAACAAACGUUAUAUCCGAGGAUUUCCGAAUGGGGAAACCCAGCCAGUAUAAGCUGGUUAUCUUGCACUGAAUACAUAGGUGUAAGAGGCGAACGCGGGGAACUGAAACAUCUAAGUACCCGUAGGAACAGAAAUCAAACGAGAUUCCGAGAGUAGCGGCGAGCGAAAUCGGAUUAGCCCUUAAGCUUCUUUUGAGUUAGUGGAAGUCUCUGGAAAGUGACGCGAUACAGGGUGAUAGCCCCGUACACGAAAACGAAUUAGAAGUGAAAUCGAGUAGGUCGGGACACGUGUUAUCUUGACUGAACAUGGGGGGACCAUCCUCCAAGGCUAAAUACUCUCUGUCGACCGAUAGUGAACCAGUACCGUGAGGGAAAGGCGAAAAGAACCCCAGUGAGGGGAGUGAAAUAGACCCUGAAACCGCAUGCUUACAAGCAGUGGAAGCACGAUUUAGUCGUGUGACUGCGUACCUUUUGUAUAAUGGGUCAGCGACUUACUCUUCAGUAGCAAGGUUAACCAUUUAGGGGAGCCGUAGGGAAACCGAGUCUUAAUAGGGCGUCACAGUUGCUGGAGGUAGACCCGAAACCCGGUGAUCUAUCCAUGGUCAGGUUGAAGGUUGGGUAACACCAACUGGAGGACCGAACCCACUUAUGUUGCAAAAUGAGGGGAUGAACUGUGGAUCGGAGUGAAAGGCUAAUCAAACCGGGAGAUAGCUGGUUCUCCUCGAAAUCUAUUUAGGUAGAGCCUCGCGUAUUACCCUAGGGGGUAGAGCACUGUUAAGGCUAGGGGGUCAUCCCGACUUACCAACCCUUUGCAAACUCCGAAUACCUAGGAGUACAGCGCGGGAGACACACUGCGGGUGCUAACGUCCGUAGUGGAAAGGGAAACAACCCAGACCGCCAGCUAAGGUCCCAAAGUCAUAGCUAAGUGGGAAACGAUGUGGAAAGGCUUAGACAGCUAGGAGGUUGGCUUAGAAGCAGCCACCCUUUAAAGAAAGCGUAAUAGCUCACUAGUCGAGUCGGUUUGCGCGGAAGAUGUAACGGGGCUAAGCUAUGCACCGAAGCUGCGGGAUACACUAUGUGUAUCGGUAGAGGAGCGUUCUGUAAGCCGCUGAAGGUGGAUUGAGAAGUCUGCUGGAGGUAUCAGAAGUGCGAAUGCUGACAUGAGUAACGUUAAUGCGGGUGAAAAACCCGCACGCCGGAAGACCAAGGGUUCCUGUUCGACGUUAAUCGGAGCAGGGUGAGUCGGCCCCUAAGGCGAGGCAGAGAUGCGUAGUCGAUGGGAAACAGGUUAAUAUUCCUGUACCGGUGUUUAUUGUGAUGGAGAGACGGAGAAGGCUAGGCCAGCGCGGCGACGGUUGUCCGCGUUUAAGGUGGUAGGCUUGGAACUUAGGUAAAUCCGGGUUCCUUUAAGGCCGAGAGCUGAUGACGAUCGCCCAAGGGCGAGAAGUGGUUGAUGCCAGGCUUCCAGGAAAAUCUUCUAAACUUCAGAUAAACACCGACCGUACCCCAAACCAACACUGGUGGUCAGGUAGAGAAUACUAAGGCGCUUGAGAGAACUCGGGUGAAGGAACUAGGCAAAAUAGCACCGUAACUUCGGGAGAAGGUGCGCCGGCUUUGGUGAUGGGACUUGCUCCCUGAGCUGAGGCUGGUCGAAGAUACCAGGUGGCUGCGACUGUUUAUCAAAAACACAGCACUCUGCAAACACGAAAGUGGACGUAUAGGGUGUGACGCCUGCCCGGUGCCGGAAGGUUAAUUGAUGGGGUUAUCUUCGGAGAAGCUCUUGAUCGAAGCCCCGGUAAACGGCGGCCGUAACUAUAACGGUCCUAAGGUAGCGAAAUUCCUUGUCGGGUAAGUUCCGACCUGCACGAAUGGCGUAACGACGGCCACACUGUCUCCACCCGAGACUCAGUGAAAUUGAACUCGCUGUGAAGAUGCAGUGUUCCCGCGGCUAGACGGAAAGACCCCGUGAACCUUUACUACAGCUUCACACUGGACUUAGAACCUGCUUGUGUAGGAUAGCUGGGAGACUUUGAAGCAUUGUCGCUAGAUGAUGUGGAGUCGUCCUUGAAAUACCAGCCUGGUAGCUUUUGAGUUCUAACUCAGGUCCGUUAUCCGGAUCGAGGACAGUGUGUGGUGGGUAGUUUGACUGGGGCGGUCUCCUCCCAAAGAGUAACGGAGGAGCACGAAGGUUGGCUAAUCAUGGUCGGAAAUCAUGAGGUUAGUGUAAUGGCACAAGCCAGCUUAACUGCGAGACAGACACGUCGAGCAGGUACGAAAGUAGGUCAUAGUGAUCCGGUGGUUCUGAAUGGAAGGGCCAUCGCUCAACGGAUAAAAGGUACUCCGGGGAUAACAGGCUGAUACUACCCAAGAGUUCAUAUCGACGGUAGUGUUUGGCACCUCGAUGUCGGCUCAUCUCAUCCUGGGGCUGUAGCCGGUCCCAAGGGUAUGGCUGUUCGCCAUUUAAAGAGGUACGCGAGCUGGGUUCAGAACGUCGUGAGACAGUUCGGUCCCUAUCUGCCGUGGGCGUUUGAGAUUUGAGGAGAGCUGCUCCUAGUACGAGAGGACCGGAGUGGACGAACCUCUGGUGUUCCGGUUGUCACGCCAGUGGCAUUGCCGGGUAGCUAUGUUCGGACAGGAUAACCGCUGAAAGCAUCUAAGCGGGAAGCCCCCUCCAAGAUGAGAUCUCACUGAAACUUUAAGUUUCCUGAAGAGCCGUUGUAGACUACGACGUUGAUAGGCAAGGUGUGGAAGCGUUGAGAGGCGUUAAGCUAACUUGUACUAAUUGCUCGUGAGGCUUGACUAUAUAACCCCAAGAGUUUUG